CCCGAUUGCCAUCCCUAGGUAGAAUCAUCUUCCUAUUCUUGUGUCUUCACCAAUGCUUCUUGUAAGUGUUUUUGUUCUUCAGAAAUUGCAACAUCUUCAUCCAUUGUAUUAAUUUUUUGGGCUGCAAAUAUCAGAGAUUUUUUAAAAAAUUACCCUUUCUGCAGUUAAUUAAGCAGAUAAUUUCUGUCAAACGCAAACAAAAUAAAGUUUCUUCUUCAUUUAAGUCAGUUUGAUAAAGGCAAAAAUGAACAAGUUAACCCUAAAUGUCCUGAUGAUUAAUCUAUGAACCCCGUCUUGUUGACAUAUUCUAUAGUCCAUUAUUCUAAGUGUUGGGAUCUCGGAGUUCAAUCAACAAUAAACAUCAUUUAAUCAAAGAUUCCAAGGCAAAAAUGCAAAAAACAUAAACCGAAAAUACAACCCAUUAAUGGCCGAAAAUCUAGACAGCAACUUCUCUUGUUUAUGGCUGAUUUUCAGGCUCAGGAACAGCUCUCAUGUCAUGCAAAUCACCUUCCAAAAAGAGAGCUGGGAAACCGGCGAAGAACUUCCUUUGAAACCGCCACCACCGCACCCCUCUUCUACCAAGUUUUGAGAAACAUCACAUAUACUUAGCCACUAUUUCAGGCCUAAGUUAUCACAAGGGACACUCAAGAAGAAGCUCACAAGAAGGCACUCUCAAGAACACUCACAGUAAGGUGCAAAUGGAGAGAGAAGUCUUGAGGAGAAGAGAGAGGGCCGAAUUUUAAGAGAGAAAGACUUGUUUUUCCAAAAACGUGAGAAAGCCCUAUUUGGUGGAAAAAUAGUCAAAGCUUCUCACACAAGCUAAAGCAACAAAAAAUAUCUCACAUAGAAUAAAUCACAGGCGUCGAUCCCAUCAAAUGGUCCACAAUAAAACUAGACAAGCACAAUCCAUGUGAAUGUCACAAAUAGCACUUAAAUCUAAUGGAGUUAAGAGAACCAUAUUCUCAGAUUCUUCACCUUGGUUCCCAUAACACUCUCUCUCGGUUGCGAAUUUGCACAUAGAAGAACUGUUCAUCAUCAUCGCCCACUACCUGCAAGAAAAAUUAACCAGUGUCAAUAUGUAAUAAAGAUAAGCACAAUUUAAAUUUACCUGCAUGUAGAAUUUUUGUUCCCACAUCAGAGGAAUUCCUAUCAGUGUGAAUUUUAACAAGAUUAACUUCACCUUGAGAAAGUUUCUCACGAAUAAAAUUAUACUUCACCUCAAUAUGUUUAGUUCUUUCAUGAUAAAUGGGAUUCUUACAAAGCGAUAAAACACUUUGACUAUCAGUAAACAUAACAGGUGCAUCAUGCAUGAAGUUCAAUUCUUUUAAAAUUCCUUUUAACUAGGUACAUUCCUUAAUCGCCUCGGUUAUGACAACAUACUCUGCCUCAGUAAUUGACAAAGUAACUAAAGGUUGCAGCUGUGACUUCCAUUUUAUACAAUUGUCACCAAGUGUAAAAAAGUAAGCUGUGGUAGACUUUCUGUUAUCCUUGUCACCAGCAAAAUCAGAAUCUACAUAUUUUCUCCCCUAUUUUUUUUUUCUUUUCUUCUUCUGCUGCCUUUUAAAGGCAGCAAGCUGCUGCCUUAAUAUAAGGCAGUAGCUUGCUGCCUUAAUUUUUUUUUUUUAAAGCUUGCGAGCUCACGAGCCGGCUCGGGCAAAGCCCGUGUCCCCAAAAUGGGGUUUGGCCCGAGCUUAGGCUCAGGUCUGCCGAGCCGGCUCGGGAAGCUACGGGCGGCCCGAGCUGGCGAGCCCGAUUGUCAUCCCUAUCAUUAGGUGCACAGAUGGUUGAGGCUUGUAUAUGCGGAAAUAUUUAAUGUACCAACAAUGUACCUUAACAACCAUUUCAAACCUGCCCAAUGGGGCUUUCCGGGGUUGGACAUAAAUCUGCUCAAAAAACUUAUAGCAUAGGCUAAGUUAGGUUUGGCUGUUAUCAUAGAGAACAUAACGAAACCUAUAGCAUUAGAGUAGGGUAUGUUCCUCAUUUCUCUAAAUUCCUCCUCAGUUUUAGGAGAAUGUGCACUAGAAAGAUUCAUGUGAGCUGCUAAGGGAACGUUCACAGAUUUUGAUCCAUUCAUACCAAAUUUAGUUAUGACUUUGUUUAGAUAGGCUUCUUAGGAAACAACUAGUCUAUUUUGAACCCUAUCUCUCUUUAUAACCAUCCCCAAAAUCUUCUUAGCACUCCCCAAAUCUUUCAUAUCGAAUUCUGAUUUUAAAAGGUUCUUCAUCUUAGUGAUUUCAGUCUUACUUGAACUUGCUAGAAGCAUGUCAUCUACAUACAGCAACAAGUAGACCUCACAGCCUUCCUUACUAUCAUUAUAGUACAUGUAUGCAUCAUAUUCACUCCUUUUAAAACAUAUCUUCAGUACAUAGGUAUCGAACCUUAUGUACCACUGUCUAGGGCUUUGUUUAAGCCCAUACAGAGAUCUUUCUAAUUUGCACACACAGUUUAUUUUACCUUUCACCUCAAAACCUUGAGACUGACUCAUGUAAAUAUUCUCUUCUAAUUCCUCAUGUAGGAAAGCAGUCUUGACAUCUAGUUGUUCCAGUUCCCAGUUGAACUGAACAACCAAUGCAAAAACCAGUCUAAUUAUUUUGUACUUUAUCACAUAAGAGAAUAUCUCAUUGUAAUCAACCCUUUUUUUUUUUUAGUAAACCCCUUUGCCACUAAUCUGGCCUUAUACCUAGGAGGAUCACUAGGAUUACUUUCUUCUUUCAAUUUGUAAAUCUACUUACAUUGAACUAUCCUAUGAUCCUUAGGUUUGUUAACCAACUUCCAAGUUUUAUUCUCCAUUAAAGAUUCCAUUUCUUCCUGCAUAGCUUUUAGCCAAUUUUCAGAACAUUUUCCAUUAACAGCUUCUUCAUAAGUAGCAAGUUCUGUCUGUUCAAGGGCUUCACCUAAAACCAAGGCAAAAUCAGUCAAGUUUAGGGAUUCAUAUCUAGGAUUUAGCCUGAUCUGUCUCCUCCCCCGAUCCCUAGUAAGUUGAUAAUCUUGAUUAGGUGGCUGAUCAUUAAAAUGUUCAACUUCAACUGGUUCAAUGUUAUCUUGAAGUUCAGUCACCUCUUUAGGUUCAAGUUCAAUUUCAUUUUCAUGAUGUAUAGGGUCAUUUUCGUCAUUCCUAGGUGUAGGUGAAUUUAGCCUAGUCAACUUCACCUCAGUCUGAAUACUCUUCUCAGUUUCAGAUUUGUUAGUUUCUUCGGUUUUCUGUUUUAGACAUGGCAUCUCAGAUUCAUUAAAGACUACAUUCCUGCUGUUAAUAAUCCUAAUGCCUUGGACCCCUAAAACCCAUAACCUAUAGCUCUUCACACCCUCGGGAUACCCUAACAUCACACACUUGACAGCCCUCAGCUCAAGUUUCCCUUCAGAUUAGUGUGCAUAUGCAGCACAUCCAAACACCCUCAAGUGUUCUAAAUUUGGAGGCUCUCCCGUCCACAACUCAUGUGGGGUCUUAAACCCUAUACUGCUGGAUGGAGACCUAUUAAUCAGAUAAGCUGCAGUACUUGCAGCUUCAGCCCAAAAGCCUUUCACAAGGCCAGAGCUAAUCAACAUACACCUAACUUUGUUCAUUAUGGUCCUGUUCAUUCUUUCAGUAACCCCAUUUUGUUGAGAUGUGUAUUUAACAGAUCUGUGUCUUGUUAUACCUUUCUACUUACAGAAGUUGUCAAAUUCGAUAUUACAGAAUUCAAGCCCAUUAUCAGUUUUUAACGUUUUAAGUUUCUUGUCUAACUGAUUCUCAACAGACUUUAACCAAACCCUGAAUUUCCCAAAAGUUUCCGACUUAGCCUUCAAAGGAUAAAUCCAAACUUUUCUUGAGUAAUCAUCCAGUAAGGACACGAAGUACUUGCUUCCACCAAAUGUGGAGUGCUUCUCCGAGCCCCAUAGAUCAGCAUGGACAUAGUCCAAUGGUCUACUGGUCCUAUGAGAGCUAGCUUCAAAGCUCACCUUAUGGGACCUACCCAAAACAUAAGUUUCACAGAAUUCCAUAGCUUCAAUGUCAUCUUUUCCAAGUAAUUUCUGAUUACUUAAAGAUUUUAGCCCUUUAAACCCAAUGUGACCCAUUCUGUUAUGCUAAAAUUUAGUUUUGUCUUUACUCACAGUAAGAAGGCUAGAAUCAACUGGUAUUUCAGUUCUACCUUUAAGAUAGUACAGUCCAUUCCUCUUAGGCCCUUUUAUAACUAUGAGAGAACCCUUCAUAAUUUUCAAAAUCUGACUUGAAGGUAUAUCCCUCAUCUUCAAGAGAACCUAAGGAAAUGAGGUUCCUCUUUAACUUAGGGACAUAUCUAACAUUUCUGAGUUGCGUGACGGCCCCAUCGUACAUUCUGAUGGCUAUGUCACCAACUCCAACCACAUUUUGAGAAUUAUUGUUUCCCAUGUAGACCUUCCUAGGUUCAGUCUCUCUAUAGUUAUAGAACCAAGACCUAUCAGGGCACAUAUAGAAAGUGUACCCUGUGUCUAAAAUCCAUUUUUUUGUCAAAUUCUUCCUCAGACACAUUCAUGACAUGCAAACUAUCAAAUUCAGAAACAAUAGCAGCAUUAUCAACAUCAGAAUUGUUCGGGUCUUUUUGUUUCCUUUUCCAGUCGAAGCAGUCUUUUUUGAAAUGUCCUAACUUUCCACAGUGAUAACAUUUCUUACCGCUUUUAUUUUUAGAUUUGGAUCCCAUUUUAGAUUUUUCUCUCCCCUUCUUGUUAUGGAAGUUAAAUUCUUUCUUUUCAGGUCUUCCCCUAACAAAUAGACUCUCUUCUCGGGAAUGAGUUCUGUUGUCUCUUUUUAAUUCAAGUUCACUUGAUUUUAAAGCAUCGGAAACAAUAGCUUGAGUGAGAGUGUCCCUAUCAUAUUUUAUGGCAUUUUUCAUUUCUCUGUGAGAUUCGGACAAAGAGUUUGGCAAUAUGACAGCUAAAUCCUCAUCAUCAAAUUUUUUAUUAUUAUGAGCUAGACUCUUAACAAUUAUGCUAAAGUCACUCAAAUUCCCCUCAACAUCCUUCCCCGGGUCCAUCUUAAAACUAAACAACUUUUCCAACAGGUAUAUUUUGUUAGGUAAAGUUUUAGUUAAGAACAAGGCAUCUAAAGCAGUCCACAAAGUUCUAGCAGUUUUAGCACUAUCAACUUGUCUUACAAUGUUGUCAGAUAGAUGCAAAAUUAUAGAACUGUAAGCAAUUUCAUUCAUAUCUUCAAUUUCAGUUGGUUUAGCUUUUAACUCAUCAGAAAAUGUAGUGGGAUCAUCGAAAGCUUUAGCAACUCUCUGUUAGACCAAAAUGGCCCUCAUUUUCUGUUUCCAUAUCGAGUAAUCCCCCUUUCCAUCGAAUUACGAUAAUUCGACCCUCGAACCCAUUACAGAUUCUGUAAAAGAGUGGCAUGUACUCGUGGACAUAACAGAAAAGGUUUUGAAAAAUUCUUUUCCAGAUAAUCAAUAUAAAAAUAUGAAUGCUGAGUUAAAAACAAAUUUUAGAAAUGAAGCACAACAAUGAAAACACAGGUAUAUAAUGCAGGUAAAUAUGCUUCCAGGUUACAAAUUAAUCAUAAGAAUUCAAUCAACGGAAUUCACAAAUAGGCAACCAAGCAAUAAUCAUGCAUAAACCGGUAAGAAUAUCAAACCUAACCUAACGGAGAGUUUGGAAUAAUCUUACCAAACUACUGUUGAAAAACAGUAAAUAUACCAACAAGUGUCUGAACCGAAUCGCUGUAGACAUCAAGCCAGGGGCAAAAUCACCCAACUUUUUAUGUAAAACCUAAAAUACUAAAAUAAACACAUUAACACGUUCAGCAGGUUAAACUAAAAAACCUGCCUGAAAAAACCUCGUCGGAGACCGCCCACGCGCCGCUGCCGAAAAAUUCAUGCGCCACCCCACCAGUACCUACUCAAUCUACAGAGCACGCCGGUGGUCUUAGAUUUUCCAAAUUCCUUCUAGUUUGGCAGGAAAUUGCGUUUGAAGGUCUGAUUUUUGCACAGAUUUUGGACAGCCUUUUUCUCUUGUUUUCUGCCGAUUUUUCUGGUCUGUUUUCUGCUGUUUUUCAGCCUUAAAACCUCCACAACUUAGCUCUGAUACCAGUUUGUUGGGUUCUCGGAGUUCAACCAACAACAAACAUCAUUUAAUCAAAGAUUCCAAGGCAAAAAUACAAGAAACAUAAACUGAAAAUACAAUCCAUUAAUGGCCGAAAAUCUGGACAGCAACUUCUUUUGUUUAUGGCUGAUUUUCAGGCUCAGGAACAGCUCCCAUGUCAUUCAAAUCACCUUCCAAAGAGAGAGCUAGGAAACCAGCAAAGAACCUCCUUUGAAACCGCCACCACCGCACCCCUCUCUUCUACCAAGCUUUGAAAAACAUCACCUAUACUUAGCCACUAUUUCAGGCCUAAGUUAUCACAAGGGACACUCAAGAAGAAGCUCACAAGAAGGCACUCUCAAGAACACUCACAGUAAGGUGCAAAUGGAGAGAGAAGUCUUGAGGAGAAGAGAGAGGGCCGAAUUUUAAGAGAGAAAGACUUGUUUUUCCAAAAACGUGAGAAAGCCCUAUUUGGUGGAAAAAUAGUCAAAGCUUCUCACACAAGCUCAAGCAACAAAAAAUAUCUCACAUAGAAUAAAUCACAGCCGUCGAUCCCAUCCAAUGGUCCACAAUAAAACUAGACAAGCACAAUCCAUAUGAAUGACACAAAUAGCACUUAAAUCUAAUAGAGUUAAGAGAACCAUA
rnacentral:lncRNA from 1 species